UACAGAGGGGGCAAGCGUUGUUCGGAAUUACUGGGCGUAAAGGGCGCGUAGGCGGCCUGCUAAGUCGAACGUGAAAUCCCCGGGCUCAACCCGGGAACUGCGUCCGAUACUGACAGGCUUGAAUCCGGGAGAGGGAUGCGGAAUUCCAGGUGUAGCGGUGAAAUGCGUAGAUAUCUGGAGGAACACCGGUGGCGAAGGCGGCAUCCUGGACCGGCAUUGACGCUGAGGCGCGAAAGCCGGGGGAGCAAACGGG
rnacentral:rRNA from 1 species